UACAGAGGUCCCAAGCGUUGUUCGGAUUCACUGGGCGUAAAGGGUGCGUAGGCGGUCGGGUAAGUCUGAUGUGAAAUCUCACAGCUUAACUGUGAAACUGCAUUGGAUACUAUCCGGCUCGAGGAAUGGAGGGGAGACUGGAAUACUUGGUGUAGCAGUGAAAUGCGUAGAUAUCAAGUGGAACACCAGUGGCGAAGGCGAGUCUCUGGACAUAUCCUGACGCUGAGGCACGAAAGCCAGGGGAGCAAACGGG
rnacentral:rRNA from 1 species